rnacentral:rRNA from 1 species
GCACCUACGGGGCGCAGCAGUGAGGAAUAUUGGUCAAUGGGCGAGAGCCUGAACCAGCCAAGUCGCGUGAGGGAAGACGGUCCUAUGGAUUGUAAACCUCUUUUGUCGGGGAGCAAAAAGGCCUCGUGAGGCCACAAGCGAGAGUACCCGAAGAAAAAGCAUCGGCUAACUCCGUGCCAGCAGCCGCGGUAAUACGGAGGAUGCGAGCGUUAUCCGGAUUUAUUGGGUUUAAAGGGUGCGUAGGCGGGCUGCCAAGUCAGCGGUAAAAUUGCGGGGCUCAACCCCGUCGAGCCGUUGAAACUGGG